rnacentral:piRNA from 1 species
UGAGGAGUAAUCAGAGACAAGAUGUAUC